GUACACGGUGGAUGCCCUGGCAGUCAGAGGCGAUGAAGGACGUGCUAAUCUGCGAAAAGCGUCGGUAAGGUGAUAUGAACCGUUACAGCCGGCGAUGUCCGAAUGGGGAAACCCAGUGCAAUUCGUUGCACUAUCGUUAACUGAAUACAUAGGUUAACGAGGCGAACCGGGGGAACUGAAACAUCUAAGUACCCCGAGGAAAAGAAAUCAACCGAGAUUCCCCCAGUAGCGGCGAGCGAACGGGGAGCAGCCCAGAGUCUGAAUCAGCUUGUGUGUUAGUGGAACGGUCUGGAAAGUCCGACGGUACAGGGUGAUAGUCCCGUACACCAAAAUGCACAGGCUGUGAACUCGAAGAGUAGGGCGGGACACGUGGUAUCCUGUCUGAAUAUGGGGGGACCAUCCUCCAAGGCUAAAUACUCCUGACUGACCGAUAGUGAACCAGUACCGUGAGGGAAAGGCGAAAAGAACCCCGGCGAGGGGAGUGAAAAAGAACCUGAAACCGUGUACGUACAAGCAGUGGGAGCACCUUCGGGUGUGACUGCGUACCUUUUGUAUAAUGGGUCAGCGACUUAUAUUCUGUAGCAAGGUUAACCGUAUAGGGGAGCCGCAGGGAAACCGAGUCUUAACUGGGCGUUAAGUUGCAGGGUAUAGACCCGAAACCCGGUGAUCUAGCCAUGGGCAGGUUGAAGGUUGGGUAACACUAACUGGAGGACCGAACCGACUAAUGUUGAAAAAUUAGCGGAUGACUUGUGGCUGGGGGUGAAAGGCCAAUCAAACCGGGAGAUAGCUGGUUCUCCCCGAAAGCUAUUUAGGUAGCGCCUCGUGAAUUCAUCUUCGGGGGUAGAGCACUGUUUCGGCUAGGGGGUCAUCCCGACUUACCAACCCGAUGCAAACUACGAAUACCGAAGAAUGUUAUCACGGGAGACACACGGCGGGUGCUAACGUCCGUCGUGAAGAGGGAAACAACCCAGACCGCCAGCUAAGGUCCCAAAGUCACAGUUAAGUGGGAAACGAUGUGGGAAGGCACAGACAGCCAGGAUGUUGGCUUAGAAGCAGCCAUCAUUUAAAGAAAGCGUAAUAGCUCACUGGUCGAGUCGGCCUGCGCGGAAGAUGUAACGGGGCUAAACUGUGCACCGAAGCUGCGGCAGCGACACUAUGUGUUGUUGGGUAGGGGAGCGUUCUGUAAGCCUGCGAAGGUGGCCUGUGAGGGUUGCUGGAGGUAUCAGAAGUGCGAAUGCUGACAUAAGUAACGAUAAUGCGGGUGAAAAGCCCGCACGCCGGAAGACCAAGGGUUCCUGUCCAACGUUAAUCGGGGCAGGGUGAGUCGACCCCUAAGGCGAGGCCGAAAGGCGUAGUCGAUGGGAAACAGGUUAAUAUUCCUGUACUUGGUGUUACUGCGAAGGGGGGACGGAGAAGGCUAUGUUAGCCGGGCGACGGUUGUCCCGGUUUAAGCAUGUAGGCGGAGGUUCCAGGUAAAUCCGGUACCUUUUAACGCUGAGGUGUGAUGACGAGGCACUACGGUGCUGAAGUAACAAAUGCCCUGCUUCCAGGAAAAGCCUCUAAGCAUCAGGUAACAUUAAAUCGUACCCCAAACCGACACAGGUGGUCAGGUAGAGAAUACCAAGGCGCUUGAGAGAACUCGGGUGAAGGAACUAGGCAAAAUGGUGCCGUAACUUCGGGAGAAGGCACGCUGAUAUGUAGGUGAAGCCCCUGCGGGUGGAGCUGAAAUCAGUCGAAGAUACCAGCUGGCUGCAACUGUUUAUUAAAAACACAGCACUGUGCAAACACGAAAGUGGACGUAUACGGUGUGACGCCUGCCCGGUGCCGGAAGGUUAAUUGAUGGGGUUAUCCGUAAGGAGAAGCUCUUGAUCGAAGCCCCGGUAAACGGCGGCCGUAACUAUAACGGUCCUAAGGUAGCGAAAUUCCUUGUCGGGUAAGUUCCGACCUGCACGAAUGGCGUAAUGAUGGCCAGGCUGUCUCCACCCGAGACUCAGUGAAAUUGAACUCGCUGUGAAGAUGCAGUGUACCCGCGGCAAGACGGAAAGACCCCGUGAACCUUUACUAUAGCUUGACACUGAACAUUGAGCCUUGAUGUGUAGGAUAGGUGGGAGGCUUUGAAGCGUGGACGCCAGUCUGCGUGGAGCCAACCUUGAAAUACCACCCUUUAAUGUUUGAUGUUCUAACGUUGGCCCCUGACCGGGGUUGCGGACAGUGUCUGGUGGGUAGUUUGACUGGGGCGGUCUCCUCCCAAAGAGUAACGGAGGAGCACGAAGGUUAGCUAAUCCUGGUCGGACAUCAGGAGGUUAGUGCAAUGGCAUAAGCUAGCUUGACUGCGAGCGUGACGGCGCGAGCAGGUGCGAAAGCAGGUCAUAGUGAUCCGGUGGUUCUGAAUGGAAGGGCCAUCGCUCAACGGAUAAAAGGUACUCCGGGGAUAACAGGCUGAUACCGCCCAAGAGUUCAUAUCGACGGCGGUGUUUGGCACCUCGAUGUCGGCUCAUCACAUCCUGGGGCUGAAGUAGGUCCCAAGGGUAUGGCUGUUCGCCAUUUAAAGUGGUACGCGAGCUGGGUUUAGAACGUCGUGAGACAGUUCGGUCCCUAUCUGCCGUGGGCGCUGGAGAAUUGAGGGGGGCUGCUCCUAGUACGAGAGGACCGGAGUGGACGCAUCACUGGUGUUCGGGUUGUCAUGCCAAUGGCAUUGCCCGGUAGCUAAAUGCGGAAGAGAUAAGUGCUGAAAGCAUCUAAGCACGAAACUUGCCCCGAGAUGAGUUCUCCCUGAGACUUUAAGUCUCCUGAAGGAACGUUAAAGACGAUGACGUUGAUAGGUCGGGUGUGUAAGCGUAGCGAUACGUUGAGCUAACCGAUACUAAUGAACCGUGAGGCUUAACCUU
rnacentral:rRNA from 1 species